rnacentral:rRNA from 1 species
GACAGAGGGUGCAAACGUUGUUCGGAAUUACUGGGCGUAAAGCGAGUGUAGGCGGUGUGGUAAGUCGGAUGUGAAAGCCCCGGGCUCAACCCGGGAAGUGCACUCGAUACUGCCACGGCUAGAGUAUCGGAGAGGUUGGGUGGAAUUCUCGGUGUAGAGGUGAAAUCGUAGAUAUCGAGAGGAACACCGGUGGCGAAGGCGGCCAACUGGACGGAAUACUGACGCUGGAGCACUCGAAAGCGUGGGGAGCAAACAGG